rnacentral:piRNA from 1 species
UCCCUGGUUUAUUUCGCUUCUAUGAAGCAUC